rnacentral:lncRNA from 1 species
UCUCUCUAAACUGAACCCACACCACUAUCUCUCUUCUUCACACUAUCUCUCACUUUUUACUUUGCUACUGAAGAUCCCACUAAUCCCCAAUUCCAGCUCCUGGUUCCAUUCUCCCACAGUCAUCCAGAGCUAAUAAACAUUAAGUAAGACUACAAGGUAUGGCUAUGGCUGUAGGAUGUUAACGUUCACAAGAACUAAUUCCCUUGAAGACUCGCUCAAUAUUGUUAGAAGAAGGACGUUGAAGCCGGGAGAAUAGGUCUACAAUGGUUGUGAAGGAAUAUUCAAAAGUAUUCCGAGAUUAUAGGAUAGUUUGUUUGUUCUUGUAACUAUAAAUAGGAGUGUCGGAUCAUAGGAACAUACUCACUUUCGAACUAUCUUACUCGCACACUCUCGAUUUUAGCAGCAAACACACUUUAACACUCACAAUUCACAGUCAUUGUAACACUUAGAUUCGAUUCGAGCAUUAUCCUGCAACUGUAUCCUGGUUAUUCAAAGCAAUAAGAAGAACAAGGCAGCCGACAAUUGUCAGCUCCCGAGGUUUUAUGCCGG